UAUAUACGGGAGUCGGUCGGCUGUGUAUUAUACGAACAACAAUCGAGAUGUUCGAUAAGAAAGUAUUACAACAACUCGUGUAGUGCUGUAUCUAAAAUUACCUAAACACCUGCUGCUGCUGGAAGGAUAUCAAGUUCUGUUGCGUCGUAAUAAAAUUCCUGGCAAAAUUUACAUAAAUCUCAAAAGGGGACGUAGUGCGAAUUCACUUGGUUCAACAUUUACGUCAUUCUCACCUCCUCAAUGCGGACUUGCAAUCACGUUAUCACGCUAACAAGGUCAUCUCAAGAAAAUGAUCUCAACUUGACACUGACGUGUCUGAAAUUUCACAAAAAAAUUACAAAUGUGAAACUCGUUCCGUAAGAAAUCGAAUUAAAACCUUAGUCGACUAAGUAUCGAUUGUUUAGUUUCGUCAUGAAAACCACGUGAAAACCGGUGAAAACAAACUUUGGGCUUCGUAGGACUUUUUGUUUUGUCUGAAAAUAAUGUAUGGAAUGGAAGUAAGCAACCACAGUGCUACAAAUUAUAGAAUAAAACAUUGUCGUUCUUUUGAAAGAAAGACUGGAUUCACACGUCAUUCAUCUGAAAAGUUCAUUUUGGUUAGAAAAGCACUUCGGGGGUGUCCAAUUAGUGAUAAAGCAUGGCUGGGAAGUAUACUAAGUGGCUGGUCCACAUUAGUGGAAGGAAUCUUUGACGAUGUGUUGCAUGUCAGGAGUAUGGCAAUUCAACCACAUUCACUAUGGCUGAAUAUAUAACUCUAAAAAGACUCCAUGACAUUUGAACGUUUUCAACCUUGAAAGCGUUCCUGAUUAGUGACAAAAUGCUGGUAUGCCCAAACCUAAAACACCUCAGCUAGAAACACCAUCCUAUAGAUAGCUGUGUAUAAAAAUAUGUGAAAUCGAGAGAUGAUUGCUGGCCCUGGAAUGACAACGCUAUAUAGUCCACCGAAUUAGGCAAAGGUAUGGCCAUGUCCUUUUCUGUAUAAGCCUAUACAUCUGCUGCUGUUCUCUCUCCGUGUGUGUGUGUGUGUUGGAGUGUCGUUCAAAAAUAUUCCGUACGCAGUUCAGCAAUAAUCUCGGAAUUCUAGCCGGUGAAAACUGAGCUGGCUCACGACAUUUCGUACACACACACACACACAUUUUGAUAGCGAUAAAUCAUGAUUACAGGAAUUACACUGAAAAAGAAGGGGGGAAAAACCCACACGCACACACUGGGCGAAAUAACUCGAUAUUCUUUCCGUGAUGCGAAACAACAAAUCAGCUGGGUAAAAAUUGACGUGAAUAUGUGUUGAAAUCUGCGUGCCGAGAGUGAAACACAACACGUUCAAAAAAUACAUUUUCUCGUGGUUUUAUUUAUUGUAUAUAAUUCGUUUCGAGGUUGUUAUCGCGCCAAAUGUGGCAAGCAACAUCACUGGGAGCCUAGUAGCGAAGUGAAACGUCGUCAGGAAUUUCACUGGGCCGCGUAUUUGUAAAUUAUUCUUUCGUUACAGUUAUUCUAAACUUCAUAUUUCAAUUGGUAAAAGUAAAAACAAAUAAAUCAACCAGUCUCGAUACUAUUACUACAUUGGCGCUUGGUUCGAUUGAGAUAUUUCGUGAUAUUUCAGUUUUGGGGAUAGUAGGGAAAUCUAGUGAAAGCCAAAUCGCGCCUGCUUUGUCUUUAUAGUUCCCGUUGCUGCGCAUUGAUUUUGAUCUGGCGAUGUUGAGGAAAUUAAUAAAACUGGAAUUUGAAACCGCCAUUUCGUGACUUCUUGGUUGGUGUAGCCUACACACAACUUUCGUUUUGAAUUCAUUUUCUAAUAAUAUGUUUAUUUUGUACCAAGAACUCUGUCGAAACGUCAUUAGUAAUUGAUUGAUUGUAAUUACAUCCAACAUGGUAAAUCUUUUUCUCAUCCUUUCACAGUAAUGCGCCCCAUUAAUUUUCCGAAAUGGAAAAUAAAAAUAAGUCAUCCAACAGGCUCAACAGGUUAUUUAUUUUUGAAUUCACGUAACAGUAGAAUGCGUAAAAU